GUGUCAGCAGCCGCGGUAAUACGUAGGGUCCGAGCGUUGUCCGGAAUUAUUGGGCGUAAAGGGCUCGUAGGCGGUUUGUCGCGUCGGGAGUGAAAACACCGGGCUUAACUCGGUGCUUGCUUUCGAUACGGGCAGACUUGAGGUAUGCAGGGGAGAACGGAAUUCCUGGUGUAGCGGUGAAAUGCGCAGAUAUCAGGAGGAACACCGGUGGCGAAGGCGGUUCUCUGGGCAUUACCUGACGCUGAGGAGCGAAAGUGUGGGGAGCGAACAGGAUUAGAAACCCCCGUAGUCC
rnacentral:rRNA from 1 species